CAUCGCCUACAAGGAACAUCAAGUCAAGUGGGCAGACAUUAACCAGCUAUAUGACUUUUUGUGCAAGUUGGUUCAAUUUGUACCUCAGUUUAAUUAUAAAAAAUAUUGAUGCUUCACAGAAUUGUGAGUAUAUCCUAAUGUAUGUGCAGUCAAUAUGACCUAUUAUUUCUGUCCCAUAUUAAGUACCCAACAGGAGACUUUAAACAUGAACUAAAAUCCUGAUUUCAUAUCAUUUUUGAUGUCAGUAGGUUGGUGCUCUACAUAUUUUCUAAGCUGUUUCAUCUAAUUUCCCUAAAAUAGAAAACAAGUCAUAGGUUCAUAGGCCCUUUAGACAAUAUAUCUGAUGAACUCAUUACUGAUGUACUCAUUACAUUUUUUAAAACAUUUUUUAUUAUAGUUGAUUUACAGUGUUGUCAAUUUUUGCUGUACAGCAGUGACCCAGUCCUAUAUAUAUAUAUAUACACACACACAUUUUUUUUCACAUUCCUGUUUUAUCUCAAGCAAUUGGAUAUAAUUCCCUGUGCUGCACAGUAGGACCUCACUGCUUAUCCAUUCUAAAUGAAAUUGUUUUUAUCUACCAACCCUAAACUCACCAUUCAUCCCACUCCUUCCUCCCUCCCCCUCAGCAACCACAAGUCUAUUUUCUAUGUCCAUGAGUCUGUUUCUGUUUUGUAAAUAGGUUUAUUUGUGCCAUAUUUUAUUUCCACAUAUAAGUGAUAUCAUAUGGUAUUUGUCUUUCUCUGACUUACUUCACUUAGAAUGAGACUCUCUGGUUGCAUCCAUGCUGCUGCAAAUAGCAUUACUUUGUUCUUUUUUAUGGCUGAGUAGUAUCCCAUUGUAUAAAUGUACCACAUAUAAUUCAUUCAUCUGUGGAUGGACAUUUAGGUUGCUUCCAUUUGUUGGAUAUUGUGAAUAGUGCUGCUAUGAACACAGGAGUGCAUUAUCAUUUUGAAUUAGAGUUUUGUCCAGAUAUAUGCCCAGUAGUGGGAUUGCUGAAUCAUAUGGUAGUUCUGAACACUAUCAUAUGGUAGUAUUUUUCUGAAGAAACUCCAUUCUGUUUUCCGUAGUGACUGUACUCAUUUACAUUCUAACCAAUAGUGUAGGAGGGUUCCCUUUUCUUCAUACCCUCUCCAGCAUUUGAUAUUUGUAGACCAGUUAAUGCUGGCCAUUCUGACUGGUAUGAGGUGGUACCUUAUGGUAGUUUUGAUUUGCAUUUCUCUAGUAAUUAGUGAUUUAAAAAAUCUUUUCAUAAGCCUACUGGCCAUCCAUAUGUCUUCUUUUGAGAUAUGUCUAUUUAAGGUCUUCUACCCAUUUUUUAAUUGGUUUGUAUGAGUUGUUUGUAUAUUUUUGAGGAUUAGGCCCUUGUCUGUUUCCUCAUUUGCAAAGAUGUUCUUCCAUUCUGUGUGUUGUGUUUUCCUUUUUUGAAUGUUUCCUUCAAAAGCUGUAAAGAAACUUUUAAGUCUCAUUGGUUUAUUUGUGUUUUUAUUGUCAUCAUCCUAGGAAGUGAAUCAAACAAGUUGUUGUGAUUCACGUCAAAGAGUGUUCUGCCUAUGUUUUCCUCUAGGAGUUUUAUAGUGUCUGGCCUUACAUUUAGGUUUUUAAUCCAUUUUGAGUUUAUUUUUGUGUAUGGUGUUAAAGAAUGUUCUAAUUUCAUUCUUUUAUAUGUAGCUGACCACUUUUCCCAGCACCACUUGUUGAAGGGACUAUUUUUCCUCCACUGUGUGUUCUUGCCUCCUUUUGUCAUAGAUCAGUUGACCAUAGGUGCUUGGGUUUACUUCUGGGCUUUAUAUCUUGUUCCAUUGAUUCACAUUUCCGUUUUGUGCCACUACCAUGACUGUUGAUGACUAUAGAUUUGUAGUAUAGUCUGAAGUCAGGGAGCCUCAUUCCUCAAGUUCCAUUUUUCUUUUCCAUUAUUGUUUUGGCUAUUCAGGGUCAUCUGUAUUUCCAUACAAAUUUUAAAAUAUUUUGUUCUAGCUUUGUGAAGAAUGUCCUUGGUAAUUUGAUAGGGAUUGCACUGAGUCUGUAGCUUGCCUUGGAUUGCUUUGGAGAGUAUAUCCAUUUUGAAAUAUUGAUUCUUCCAAUCACAAGAGCAUGGUAUAUAUUUCCAUCUGUUUUUGUCCUCUUAUAUUUCAUCAGUGUCUAAUAGUUUUCAGAUUACAGGUCUUUUGUUCUCUUUUUGUACAGGUAUUUUAUUCUUUUUGAUGCAAUAGUAAGUGGGAUGGGUUCCCUAACUUUUCUUUCUGCUAUUUAGUUAUUAGGAUCUAGAAAUGCAAUUGCUUUCUGUGUAUUAACUUUGUAUCCUGCUACUUUACAAAAUUCAUUGAUGUGCUCUAAUAGUUUUCUGCUGGUGUCUUUAGGAUUCUUUAGGAUUUUCUAGGUAUAGUAUCAUGUCAUUUGCAAACAGUGAUAAGUUUUACUUCUUCCUUUCCAACUUGGAUUCCUCUUGUUUUAUUGGUAUAUGAUCGUUUCAAUAUAUAGAAGGUUUGGUUUGCUAAUGUUUUGUUGUGGAUUUUUCCAUCUAAAUUUAUUGGUGAUAUUGGCCUAUAAUUUUCUUUUGUUGUGGUAUCAUUGUUUGGUUUGGUAUCAGGGUGAUGGUGGACUCAGAAUGAUCUUGGGGGUUUUCCUUCCUCUGCAGUUUUUUUGGAAGUGUUUCCAAAGAAUAGGUAUUAACUCUUCUCUGAAUGUUUGAUAGACUUUGCCUGUGUGAAACCAUCAGGUCCUGGACUUUUGUUUUUUGAAAGUUUUUAAAUCACAGAUUCAAUUUCAGUACUUGUGAUUGGCCUAUUCAUAUUUUCUAUUCUUGAUUCAGUCUUGGUAGGUUCUACUUAUCAGUUAAGUCAGUCUGGUCUAAGGUAUCAUUUAAGGCCUGUGUUUCUAUGUUGAUUUUCUAUCUGGAUGAUCUCUCCAUUGCUUUAAAGUGGGGUGUUAAAAGUCUCCCCUAUUUAUGGUGUUGCUGUUAAUUUCUCCUUUUAUGGCUAUUAGCUGUUGCUUUAUAUAUUGUGGUGCUCCUGUGUUGGGUUCAUAUUUACAACUGAUGUAUCUUCUUUGGUCCUUUUAUCAUUAUUUAGUGUCUUUGUCUCUUAUGAUCUUUUUUAAAGUCUAUUUUGUCUGAUAUGAGUUAUUGAUACUCCCUCUUUCCUUUGAUUUCCACUUUUAUGUAAUGUCUUCUUCUAUCCCCUCACUUUCAGUCUCUAUGUGUCCUUAGAUCUGAAGUGGGUUUCUUGUAAACAGCACAUAUAAUGGGUCUUGUUUAGGUAUCCAGUCUGUGUCUUUUGGUUGGAGCAUUUAAUCCAUUUACAGUCAGUGUAAUUAUCAAUAAGUAUGUAGUUAUUGCCAUUUUCUAAUUGUUUUGAAUUGUUAUUUUGAGCCUUUUUUCUUCCCUUUCUCUUUUAUUGUCUUCCCUGUGAUUUGCUAUUUUUAGUGUUGUGUUUGGAUUGCUUUUUCUUUAUGUGUGUGUCCAUAAAGUUGGGGUUCCCAUUUUUAUGUAACCAUCUAUAUAUGUACAGAAUAAUUUUUGGUUGCUGGUAUCUUAAUUUCAAAUGCAUUUUCAAUGUGUAUUUCUUCUCUCCUCAUGCUUACUAGUUUUGAUAUCAUUUGUCAAUGGGUGAUUUCUUACCUCUAUAUUAUCUUUGCCUUUACCAAUGAGCUUUCUCCUUUGUAAUUUUCUCAUUUCUAAUUGUGGAUUUUUCUUUUCUGCCUAGAGCAGCUCCUUUAGUCAUUGUUAUAGAACUGGUUUGGAAGGGCUGAAUUCUCUUAGCUUUUGAUCUCUUUAUCAUGUAUGAAUGAGAGCUUUGCUGGGUAGAGUUUUCUUGGUUCUAGGUUCCUCCCCGUCAUCACCUUAAAUAUAUCUUGCCACUCCCUUCUAGCUUGAAAGUUUCUAAUGAAAACUCAGCUGUUAUCCUUAUGGGGAUUCCCUUGUAUGUUAUCUGUUGUUUUUCCCUUGUGGGUUUAAAUUUUUUUCUCGUAUUUAAUUUUUGUCAGUUUGAUCAGUAUGCAACUCACUACUAUAAGCCUUAUUUUUCUCCUUGGGUCCUCCUGUAUGGGAUUCUCUGUGCUUGCUUGAGUGUUUCCCUUUCCCAUAUUAUGGAAGUUUUCAGCUAUAAUUUCUUCAAAUAUUUUCUCUGACUCUUUCUCUCAUCUCCUUUGGAAACCUUAUAAUGUAAAUGGUGCAUUUGAUGUUGUCCCAGAAGUCUCUCUUCAUUUCAUUUUCUUUUAUUCUUUUUUGAGGCAGUCAUUUCCACCACUCUGUCUUCCACGUCACUUAUUUGUUCUUCCACCUGGGUUAUCCUGCUGUUGAUUCCUUCUAGUGUAUUUUUCAUUUCAGAUAUUGUACUAUUUAUCUUAGUUUGCUUGCUAUUUAAAUCUUCUAGCUCUUUGUUAAACAUUUCUUGUAACUUCUUGAUCUGUGUCUCCAUUCUUUUUCCACUAUCUUGGAACGUCUUUAAUAUCAUCACUCUGAUUAUUUUUCAGUUAGAUUUCCAUCUCCUCUUCAUUUAGUUGUGUUUGUGUGUUUUUUGUGUUUGUAUGUUGUAUGUUUUAUUUCUUUGUUGUCUCAUAUUGUCUAACUUUCUAUGUUUAUCAUCCCCUUGAAAGUAGGUAUGUAGAUACAGCAGCUCGUGCCCUUUCCUGGAGUUCUCAGGGGUGGUAGCAGCUCAUGUGUACUCAGAGCACGUGAUGGGAACAGUGGUAUCAAUACUACCUCUCCUGGAGCCAGGUGGCUGCUAGGGAUGGGGUCUGUGAGGAAGAUGGCAUGGUUCAUGGGAUUUCUUUUGAAGUGGAGAGGGGUACAGCAGUGGCUCCUGCCACCUCUCCUGCUACCAGGCAGUUCUCAGGAUCAUUUCCUGUAGCUGGUAGUGUCAGAAGCUCCUCCUAUAGUCCCUCCCAUUGUUAGGCUCUCAGGACUACUCUUGGGACAGCUCUGUAGCUUCAGGGGCAGGCAUCAAACAGUAACUCCCUUUUUUUGGCCACUUUAGGGAGCACUCUCUGUAGCCCUAAGGGCAGGAGCUGCUCCCCAGUUGUUUCUAGGCAGCGGUUGUUCCCAAGUGUCUCCUGGAACUGGAGCAGUUGGUAUCCUGCAGCCUGAGAGCAUGCAUAGGGAAUAAGGCUGUAGUUAGUGGUGGAUCCUGCCCCUUCCCUUCAGCACCCCCAAAUAAUGGUGCCUGGCUUCCAAGUCCAACUGGGUUUGCUCAGCUUACACCCUCAAAUGUGAUUAUAAUCCUCCAGGCUGUUUCCAUGCACCAACCCAUUUUUUUUCCCACCUAGCCAGCCCCAGCUUUCUGAGUCUGAUCCCCAAAGCCAGAGUUUCAGUUCCCAGCCCCUACCCAUACCAGCAUAUGAUUGGGAAGUGCAGGGCAAUAGCACUGACCACUGUGGAGAACCAUUUUAACUGUCUUACCCUGAUUGCUGUGUUCUCUUCCACUCCUCUAAAGAUCCUCCUCUGUCCCAGUUGAUCUCCUUGCUUGUAGAGGGACUACUGUGGGUGCAAGAGCUUCUUCUCUUUCAAGCUCACUCCUAGGAGUGCAGGUCCCAUUCUGUUUCCUUUCUCAUUUUCUCUUUUUAUUUUUUUUGUUCUACCCAGUUUCAAGUUUUUCUUGUGCUGUCGGAAUCCUGAGGUCUUUUGUCAGUGUUUAGCAAAUUUUCUGUGUGAAGAGUUCCAUGCAGCCUCAAUGUAUUUGAGAGUAGGUGAGUCACAUCCUACUAUACCACCAUCUUCUCUCCUCCCCGCUAAUGGUAACAUUACAAUACAGAAAUAAAAUAUACAAUUUCCAAAGCAAUGGAUUAAAAAAAAAAGGAAUAUUCAAAGCCACCCCCCCAAAAAAAUGGAAAGGGUGAGAGGGAGAUGGUGAUACUCAGAAAAAACCAUAAAUAAUAAUCCCAAAAUUAGACUUUUAAAAUAUAUUCAAAUAUUCUCAAAUCUAAAAAUAGAUGUACCAUAUGACCCAGCAUUUCUAUUUAUGGGUAUAUAUCCAAACACUCCUCCCCCUUAAAAACUAAUUCAGAAAGGUACAUGAACCUCCAGUAUUCAUAGCAGCAUUAUUUACAAUUGCCAAAAUAUGGAAGCAACCUAAAUAAAAUGUCCCUCAACAGAUGAAUCAAUAAGGAAUAUGCAAUACACACACAAUGGAAUUACUCAGGCAUAAGAAAAAAAUGACAUUUUGCCCUUUGUAACAACAUGGAUAGACUUGGAGGGAAUUAUACUCAAAUAAGUCAGAUGGAUUUUAUGUGUGGAGUUUUAAAAAUGAUUGAACCUAGUGAUUAUACAAAAAUAAAAGCAGACUCACAGAUAUAGGGAGCAAAUUUGUGGUUACCAGUGAAGAGAGGGAAGGGGGGUGGAACAAGAUAGAAUUAGGGAAUUAAGCGAUACAAACUACAAUGUAUAAGAUAAAUAAGCUACAAUGAUAUAUUUACAAGACAGAGAAUAUAGACAGUAUUUUAUAAUAACCCUAUAUGAACCUUUAAAAAUUGUGAAUAACAUUGUAUACCUGAAAAUUAUGUGAUACUGCACAUCAACUAUACAUUGAUUUUUUUUUAAAAAGGCUACCAUAAUUUAAAAAAUAUAUGUAAAACAUAUACACACAUGUAUAUAUGUAUGAAAAUAAAUCAAGAU
rnacentral:lncRNA from 1 species